GCCGGCAAACAGGGGUUGAACCUCAUUCGUAAUGAGAAGGUCGGGUGUUCGAUUCAUCUCUCCGGCACCA
rnacentral:tRNA from 1 species